GGGCUCUUGGCACAGGGGUAGCGCGCACGCUUUGCAUCUUCAUCAGGUACAUGCGUGAGGUCGUGGGUUCAAAUCCCACAGUGUCCA
rnacentral:tRNA from 1 species